rnacentral:pre_miRNA from 1 species
AGUGGAAUUGCUGGUUUAUAUGGUAUAUAUUAAACUUUUUGAGGAACUUCCAGACUAUUUUCCAAAGUGGCUUCACCAUAUUACAUUCACACAGGCAAU